CUUUUUCUUCAAUGUAGCAAUAAACCUAAUCCUAAUCAGAUAUCAGAUGUUAAUGGUAAGCCUGCUGUGGUGAAUGGUCCAGUUGGAGGAGUACUUUAUCAAGCCCAGAACUCAAGCACAGGCCGGCCCUGUGAGAGUUGUUACACCACACAGUCCCAACAGUGGUAUUCCUGGGGGCCUCCAAAUAUGCAGUGUAGACUUUGUGCUUCAUGCUGGACGUACUGGAAGAAGUACGGUGGUUUGAAGAUGCCUACUCGAGCAGAGGCAGAAAAAAUGUCACCCACAGAUGAUGUUUCGGACUCCCACAUAAGAAGUGUCUUUCAUCAUGGUCAACCUGGGCAUGGUGUAUCAAUACACAUCGAUAGUCCAAAAUCUACUUUGAAAACCCGUCAGUCUUUCUUCCUGCAGACAACUCGUCUUACAAAACUUGCCAGGCAUGUCUGCAGAGAUAUUCUGCGGCUGAAACAGGCAGCAAGGAAGCCAUUUGUUCCAAUUAACUGUGCUGCCAUUAAGGCAGAAUGUAAGAACUUUUUAAAUUCCUAGCUUUGAGUUUCAUGCUUUCACCAUUCCCUGACCUAAUGUUUGCAAUAAAUGAUACUUAUGACUUACUACAUUA